UACAGAGGUCUCAAGCGUUGUUCGGAUUCAUUGGGCGUAAAGGGUGCGUAGGCGGCGCGGUAAGUCGGGUGUGAAAUCUUGGAGCUUAACUCCGAAACUGCAUUCGAUACUGCCGUGCUUGAGGACUGGAGAGGAGACUGGAAUUUACGGUGUAGCGGUGAAAUGCGUAGAUAUCGUAAGGAAGACCAGUGGCGAAGGCGGGUCUCUGGACAGUUCCU
rnacentral:rRNA from 1 species